ACGGGAGGCAGCAGUGGGGAAUAUUGCACAAUGGGGGAAACCCUGAUGCAGCGACGCCGCGUGAGUGAUGAAGUAUCUCGGUAUGUAAAGCUCUAUCAGCAGGGAAGAUAAUGACGGUACCUGACUAAGAAGCACCGGCUAAAUACGUGCCAGCAGCCGCGGUAAUACGUAUGGUGCAAGCGUUAUCCGGAUUUACUGGGUGUAAAGGGAGCGUAGGUGGUUUGGCAAGCCAGAAGUGAAAACCCGGGGCUCAACUCCGUGGAUUGCUUUUGGAACUGUUGAACUAGAGUGCAGGAGGGGUAAGUGGAAUUCCCAGUGUAGCGGUGAAAUGCGUAGAUAUUGGGAGGACCAUCAGUGGCGAAGGCGGCUUACUGGGCUUUAACUGACGCUGAGGCUCGAAAGCGUGGGGAGCAAACAGGAUUAGAUACCCUGGUA
rnacentral:rRNA from 1 species